CCUACGGGAGGCUGCAGUGAGGAAUAUUGGUCAAUGGGCGCGAGCCUGAACCAGCCAAGUAGCGUGAAGGAUGACUGCCCUACGGGUUGUAAACUUCUUUUAUAAAGGAAUAAAGUGAGGCACGUGUGCCGUUUUGUAUGUACUUUAUGAAUAAGGAUCGGCUAACUCCGUGCCAGCAGCCGCGGUAAUACGGAGGAUCCGAGCGUUAUCCGGAUUUAGUGGGUUUAAAGGGAUCGUAGAUGGGUUGUUAAGUCAGUUGUGAAAGUUUGCGGCUCAACCGUAAAAUUGCACUUGCUACUGGCAGUCUUGUGUACAGUUGAGGUAGGCGGCAUUCGUUGUGUAGCGGU
rnacentral:rRNA from 1 species